AUUGAACGCUGGCGGCAUGCUUUACACAUGCAAGUCGAACGGUAACAGGCCGCAAGGUGCUGACGAGUGGCGAACGGGUGAGUAAUGCAUCGGAACGUGCCCAGUCGUGGGGGAUAACUACUCGAAAGAGUAGCUAAUACCGCAUACGAUCUAUGGAUGAAAGCGGGGGACCGUAAGGCCUCGCGCGAUUGGAGCGGCCGAUGUCAGAUUAGGUAGUUGGUGGGGUAAAGGCUCACCAAGCCAACGAUCUGUAGCUGGUCUGAGAGGACAACCAGCCACACUGGGACUGAGACACGGCCCAGACUCCUACGGGAGGCAGCAGUGGGGAAUUUUGGACAAUGGGCGCAAGCCUGAUCCAGCAAUGCCGCGUGCAGGAAGAAGGCCUUCGGGUUGUAAACUGCUUUUGUACGGAACGAAACGGCUCUGGUUAAUACCCGGGACUAAUGACAGUACCGGAAGAAUAAGCACCGGCUAACUACGUG
rnacentral:rRNA from 1 species